rnacentral:rRNA from 1 species
GUGAGGAAUAUUGCGCAAUGGAGGCAACUCUGACGCAGCCAUGCCGCGUGCAGGAAGAAGGCGCUACGCGUUGUAAACUGCUUUUAACCGGGAAGAAACCCCAGGACGUGUCCUGGGUUGACGGUACCGGAGGAAUAAGCACCGGCUAACUUCGUGCCAGCAGCCGCGGUAAUACGAAGGGUGCAAGCGUUAUCCGGAUUCAUUGGGUUUAAAGGGUGCGUAGGCGGAGCGUUAAGUCAGUGGUGAAAUCCUGCAGCUUAACUGUAGACUUGCCAUUGAGACUGGUGCUCUUGAGUGCGCUUGAAGUGGGCGGAAUGUGCCGUGUAGCGGUGAAAUGCUUAGAUAUGGCACAGAACACCAAUUGCGAAGGCAGCUCACUAAGGCGAUACUGACGCUGAGGCACGAAAGCGUGGGGAUCGAACAGGAUUAGAAACCCCAGUAGUCC